AUUGAACGCUGGCGGCAGGCUUAACACAUGCAAGUCGAGCGAGCGGCGGACGGGUGAGUAAUGUCUGUGAAACUGCCCGCUGUAGGGGGAUAACAACUGUAAACGGUAGCGAUUAUCGCACACGAUCAGAUGUGUCCAGAUGGGAUUAGCUAUUAGUGGGGGUAAUGGCUCACCCAGGCGACGAUCCCUAGCUGGUCUGAGAGGAUCACCAUCCCCCCUGGAACUGAGACACGGUCCAGACUCCACCCCAAAUCACCAUUCUAAAAUAUUUCACAAUGAUGGCAAGCCUGAUUCAGCCAUGCCGCGUGUGUGAAGAAUUCCUUCGGGUUUUAAUGCACUUUCAGCGAGGAGGCGUUACUCGCAGAAGAAGCACCGGCUAACUCCGUGCCAGCAGCCGCGGUAAUAC
rnacentral:rRNA from 1 species